GACGAACGCUGGCGGCGUGCUUAACACAUGCAAGUCGAACGGAAAGGCCCUGCUUUUGUGGGGUGCUCGAGUGGCGAACGGGUGAGUAACACGUGAGUAACCUGCCCUUGACUUUGGGAUAACUUCAGGAAACUGGGGCUAAUACCGGAUAGGAGCUCCUGCUGCAUGGUGGGGGUUGGAAAGUUUCGGCGGUUGGGGAUGGACUCGCGGCUUAUCAGCUUGUUGGUGGGGUAGUGGCUUACCAAGGCUUUGACGGGUAGCCGGCCUGAGAGGGUGACCGGCCACAUUGGGACUGAGAUACGGCCCAGACUGCUACGGGAGGCAGCAGUGGGGAAUAUUGCACAAUGGGCGGAAGCCUGAUGCAGCAACGCCGCGUGCGGGAUGACGGCCUUCGGGUUGUAAACCGCUUUCGCCUGUGACGAAGCGUGAGUGACGGUAAUGUGUAAAGAAGCACCGGCUAACUACGUG
rnacentral:rRNA from 1 species